CCUACGGGAGGCAGCAGUGGGGAAUAUUGCACAAUGGGCGCAAGCCUGAUGCAGCAAUGCCGCGUGUGUGAAGAAGGCCUGCGGGUUGUAAAGCACUUUCAGUAGAGAAGAAAAGCUUACGGUUAAUACCCGUGAGUCUUGACGUUACCUACAGAAGAAGCUCCGGCUAACUCCGUGCCAGCAGCCGCGGUAAUACGGAGGGAGCGAGCGUUAAUCGGAAUUACUGGGCGUAAAGCGCGCGUAGGCGGCUUUGUCAGUCGGAUGUGAAAGCCCUGGGCUCAACCUGGGAAUGGCACUCGAUACUGCAGAGCUAGAGUAUGGUAGAGGGAAGUGGAAUUUCCGGUGUAGCGGUGAAAUGCGUAGAUAUCGGAAGGAACACCAGUGGCGAAGGCGACUUCCUGGGCCAAUACUGACGCUGAGGUGCGAAAGCGUGGGGGGCAAACAGGAUUAGAUACCCUGGUAGUCC
rnacentral:rRNA from 1 species